rnacentral:rRNA from 1 species
UACGAAGGGGGGCUAGCGUUGUUCGGAUUUACUGGGCGUAAAGCGCACGUAGGCGGAUCUUUAAGUCAGAGGUGAAAUCCCAAGGCUCAACCUUGGAACUGCCUUUGAUACUGGGGAUCUUGAGUCCGGGAGAGGUGAGUGGAACUGCGAGUGUAGAGGUGAAAUUCGUAGAUAUUCGCAAGAACACCAGUGGCGAAGGCGGCUCACUGGCCCGGUACUGACGCUGAGGCACGAAAGCGUGGGAGCAAACAGG